rnacentral:misc_RNA from 1 species
UGUAAAACGUUGAUGAAGAAUAGUAGAAGUCGAUUAUAUAAGAGAAAAAGUCCGUGGGCUGAAAGACUUUUAAACAGGCUUUGAACCAGCUUUUGAGUAUAGGGAAAAACUAUCGGUCUAAAACCGUUAUCAUUGCUAGAGAACAAAUUUAGGUGGUACCGCGAUAUAAAGUUCGCCCUAAUA